AGAGUGAACGCUGGCGGCAGGCCUAACACAUGCAAGUCGAGCGGCAGCGCGGGGGGCAACCCUGGCGGCGAGCGGCGGACGGGUGAGGAAUACAUCGGAAUCUACCUUGUUGUGGGGGGGUAACGUAGGGGAAACUUACGCUAAUACCGCAUACGACCUGAGGGUGAAAGCGGGGGACCGCAAGGCCUCGCGCGACAAGAUGAGCCGAUGUCCGAUUAGCUAGUUGGUGAGGUAAAGGCUCACCAAGGCGACGAUCGGUAGCUGGUCUGAGAGGAUGAUCAGCCACACUGGAACUGAGACGCGGUCCAGACUCCGUACGGGAGGCAGCAGUGGGGGAAUAUUGGACAAGUGGGGGACAACCCGUAGAUACCAGCCACGCCGCGUGUGUAGAAGAAGGCCUUCGGGGUUGUAAAGG
rnacentral:rRNA from 1 species